AGUCUGGUGCCAGCAGCCGCGGUAAUUCCAGCUGAUUUAGCGUAUAUUCAUGUUGCUGCAGUUAAAACGUACGUAGUCUUAUUUUAGUGCAUUGUUAUAUGGUCUUUUCUAUGAAUUGUACUGUAAAACAUGCACUGUGUGUCUAUUUGCAAGGGUGCUUUAUUGUGCCUUUGUUGGUAGAUGCAGGUUACUUUGAAAAAAUCAGAGUGUUCAAAGCAGGCUUUACGCCGUGAAUACAUUAGCAUGGAAUAAUAGAAUAGGACUUUGGUUCUAUUUUGUUGGUUUCUAGGACUAAAGUAAUGAUUAAUAGGGGCGGUCGGGGGCGUUAAUAUUCCAAUGUCAGAGGUGAAAUUCUUGGAUUUUUGGAAGAUUAACUACUGCGAAAGCAUUCGCCAAGGACGCUUUCAUUGAUCAAGUGCGAAAGCCUAAGGAUCGAACAGGAUCAGAGACCCUGGUAGUUUAGGCUGUUAAUGAUGCCAACUAGGGAUUGGUGGGUGUUGUUUAUGACCCCAUCAGCAUCUUCCGGGAAACCAAAGUUUUUGGGUUCUGGGGGGAGUAUGGUCGCAAGGCUGAAACUUGAAGAAAUUGACGGAAGGGCACCACCAGGAGUGGAGCCUGCGGCUUAAUUUGACCCAACACGGGAAAACUUACCAGGUCCAGACAUAGUGAGGAUUGACAGAUUGAGAGCUCUUUCUUGAUUCUAUGGGUGGUGGUGCAUGGCCGUUCUUAGUUGGUGGAGUGAUUUGUCUGCUUAAUUGCGAUAACGAACGAGAUCUUAACCUGCUAAAUAGUGUGUUGGCAACUUGUGUGCUGAUGCUCACUUCUUAACGGGACUGUGUAAGAAAAUUUCACGGAAGCAUGAGGCAAUAACAGGUCUGUGAUGCCCUUCGAUGUUCUGGGCCGCACGCGCGCUACACUGACACAGUCAACGAGUUUGUCCUUGGUCGAAAGGCUUGGGUAAUCUUUUCAAACUGUGUCGUGCUGGGCUUGACAAUUGCAAUUAUUUGUCAUAAACGAGGAAUUCCUAGUAAGCGCGAGUCAUCAGCUCGCGUUGAUUACGUCCCUGCCCUUUGUACACACCGCCCGUCGCUCCUACCGAUUGGAUGAUCCGGUGAAGUCUUCGGACUGUGGUUUAGAUGUCAUUUCGGUGACGACUAUUCCGCGGGAAGUUGAUUAAACCUUAUCAUCUAGAGGAAGGAAAAGUCGUA
rnacentral:rRNA from 1 species